AACGAACGCUGGCGGCAUGCCUAACACAUGCAAGUCGAACGAGACCUUCCUGCUUAGUGGCGCACCGGUUCGUAACCCGUUGGAACCUGCCCUUAUGUUCUGCCCAACACCUCGAAAUAGGUCCUAAUACCGGGUUCUAUUUUCGGACCAAAGCUUUUUCGCGUUUGGUUGGGGCCGCGUUUGAUUGGUUUGUUGGUAGGGUACAACCUUACCACGGAGUGGAUCCAUAGCUGGCUUGAGAGGAUGAUCAGCCACACUGGCCAUGCGACACGGACCAGACUGCUACGGGAGGCAGCAGUGGGGAAUAUAGGAGGAUGGGGGAAAGCCUGGUGCAGCAAUGCCGCGUGAGUGAUGAAGGGGUUAGGGUUGUAAAGCUCUUUGAGCCGGGAUGAUAAUGACAGUACCGAGAGAAGAAGCACCGGCUAACUCCGUG
rnacentral:rRNA from 1 species